AAUGAUUCCUCGCUUGAAUAAGCAAUCGUCGGCGGGAAAGUGAAAUUUUCGAAAGUUUCCUUUAUUUCUGGAAAAAUCUCACGACGAAUUGUAACCCAUUCAUAGCUCGUUAAUGGAAAAUCAUGAAAUAACAAUCCGAUUUAAAAAAAUGUGAAAUACAUGUUUAACCGUGAGGAAAUUUUUGCAACGAAUUAUUGUAUAGAAAAUUUGUGCAUCGACUGAUCGAUUAUUGUAUAGAAAAUUUGUGCAUCGACUGAUCGAAGAGCGACGAUCCAUUGCUGUGAGCAAUGUAAAGCGAAACCCAAACAAACCCAAACGCAGAGUUUCAACAAGCUCACUAAUUGAACGUUCCAAAUCAAUAAUAGUUUCAAAAAAACUUUCACGAAAAUGUCGUAAAAAUAAGAAUUAUACCAAACUUUGAAAAAUGGUGUCUCAAGUAGUACAACAACUUCCAUUGAAAGGGCCGGGAGGGCCAAAAGAGGGGCUAUUCCAGGGGAGGGAAGACUUGCAAUUUCCGAUGAGCUUACCUCCGGAGAAACCCUCCAAAAGCCAAACGUCGAUACGCCUGCGAGCAAGCACACACCACCACCGUCAGCGCCCAAUGGCAGCCAUCUUGGGGGUUGUGUAUCGCUUUCGAAGAGCGAACGGCAAAACUAUAUGAUGCUUUGCAACACAAUUAAAGUCCGAUAUCGUUAUAUUGAUCGUUCGUCCUUCAUCAAUAUUGUUUAUAUUGAAAAAAAACGUUUUUAAGAUUCCGGAUUAUUCGUGGACAUGAUAAUCAAAUCCUUUUAAAACUUUUCCAUUUCCUUUUUGUAUUUGCGUUACACUUUUAGACUUCUACUUUAUUGAAUUUUAUUCACCAAUUUUCAAAGAUUUUUCCACCGUCAUCUCAGUCAAUCUUUACAUUUAUUUCAACUAUUUAUAUUUAUUUUAAAAAUUAACCGAACAUUCGUUCAUGAUAACUCUUGAUGUUAAAAAGAUUGAAGCUUUUUUGACUGGCAGCUCAUCCACUAUUACCUUGAAUCGUAUAUUCAUCGAAUUUAUUUUAUUUCGUUUUCAUUGUAACGUAUUUCCACACUGCAUUAUUAUUUUGUGCAUUUACGACUCCGAUGAAGAAUGCUGAAAGGUUUCGGCUCGAGGAAAUGCGGCUCUUUGAAUAAUACACUAUAUUAUCCGGGCGAAAAUUCGACAACGCAAAGCCCCAAAUUGCGCACGAAAUAUUGAAAUUCGCAGUGAACUCAAAUUAAAUUUGAAAGCCAGAUCAUACGUUAUUGAACUUUGAAGUGAUAAUCGAUUAAAUGUUUUUGUUUUUUCGUCUAAAUAUCAAAAUGAAUGUUCAUAUUUGAGCAGCGAAAACAAGUCGAAAGUGGAAAAUUUGUGGAUGAACUUGAGCUGCGUUAAAAUUGUAUUUAUUCGUGAAUUUAAAAUCAGAGAGUCCGACUAACGAACGGAAUAAUAGUGAAGGCCAGUAUCGUGUUUCGUGUUUUUAGAAAGGGUUGCAACGUCUCAGGAACAGUUUCCAUCUGCCAAGAAGCGAAGCAGCUAAGAUUAAGAGGGAUCUCUGGUAUACGGCCGUUGGCUAGUCCGGACACGAGGUCUUUUGUCGAAAUAGCCGAUUGAAUUACACGGGGGCGCGUGCCACGAGCGACCCCCUCGCUCCGCAGGGACGACAUGCGCGCUGCCGAGGAGGAUUCUCGUUCUCCUUUCGGACUUAAGCACCUAAUAAGCCCGCUAUUUCGAUUACGAUCUGCAGAGAUGUUCCAUUUUUGAGAUUUGCUGUCAACGCCGUUUCAAGGGGUCCCAUUUUCAACAGACCGUUGUACAAAAAAUACCACGAGAAAAAUUAAAAAAACAUUUUUUUCCAGUACUUCUAAGUAUGCAAAUGAUACGUACAAGGUUUUAUUUAAAUCCAUCUAACCAAUUUUUAUUUACAAAAUAAACAAAAAACAUUGAAAAUUCCAACGUUUACACUGUUCACCCUUAAAUGUUUACACCUUUAGAUCACAAAAGGAACUUGACUACAAGCGUGUUUUUGGUGCUGUAGAUCUCAUUCUUCGUUUUACGUCAGUGUGCUCUUUAUAAUUCAAAUGCAUUCCUGGAAGAUUUUCUUGAGUAAUCGAUCUCUUGUAAUUUCCAUGUCCUUUUAUUGGAAACGAAUAACGAAGUCAUUAUAAAUUUUUGUCUCAAAAUGAAUGCACUGAAAAAAAAAUUUGAUUGAAAUCCCAGAAUAUAUUUUUGUGCACGUUAAACAAAAUAUUUUGUCUACGCAACGUCUACGAAACUUACAACGGCACAAUAUUUUAAAAUUGCAACAAAAUUUCUUUUCCCGAGGCGCAAUUUCAACGAAUACCUAAAAUAUAUAACUCAUCGAAAAUCCUAUCGAAAUACCAAUAAUUUAUUGACACAAUGAUCGACAAACAAUUCGUCGUCUUCUUUUUUUUUCAGAUUCCCAUUUUUUUCUUGUCUCCCUCUGAUCUCUUGGAGAUCGAGACACACGCGCGUUCGGAUGCAUCGCGGCAGCACAGAAUCACGAAUCGUCAGUGUCAGUCCUGGGACUCUCGAACUUAAUUACAGCCGGGAUUUACUCGAGGAGAAUCUUCGCGGUUGCAACGAGGCAAACCGAGAUACAAGUGCGAGCAAACACAGGUGGUUACAUAUACUGCGGUAAAGCCCAAAAUUUAUGGGGUGAUUUGUGAAAAUAAUCUCGCCACAAGCAUCUUCACCGAGGGGGUACUCUGUACAAAAAAGUGGGUGCAGAAAAUGGGUCGUGGAUGGGGUUCAGAUUGGUUGUAACCAUAGUUUGCGAUCUUAUUCACAUCGGCCAAGCUCGAUUCAAACCGAUUCAGCUUAAUUAGUUAUUUCAAUCGAACGCAUCGACGGACCAUUCAUAAAAUUUAAAAUUCACCAUAAUCGCGAUCGAUCCGAGCAAUAGUUAAAUCGAGUCUGACGUACUAAGCGAAAAUAGUCUGUAUCACAAAGAUAUUUGUAGAUAGGGGAGACCGAGACUAGUUGCAAGUUGACUAACAAAAAAUAACAUACAAACUACUGAAUGUAAACAUACGCUCGUGUGUCCGAACGCGUCGGAGCGACACGUCGUUUAAACAGUGAAGAAUUUUCAUAAAUCCAGGUACAAAACCAAAUUUUUACGUCAAAUCUUAUCUAGCUCCUGCUGCCUCGAAUUUUUUUCCAAUUAUUAGAAUAAUCCUCCACAUGAAUGUUCGUAUAUUGAACUGUAAUUGUCGAUAAUAUUUUUCUCAAUUAUCAUUAUAAUUUGCUGGUAGAACAUUUUGUUGCUGAAAAAAAAGUGAAGUAAAUAGACCAACGGUGGUAUGGAGUUGGUUAACACAUGUGUCGACGUAGUGCUCUAAAUGAGCCCACUCAAGGUGUGCCAGUAAAAAAUAAUAUUCUAUGUGUGUAAAAACUGCAAUUCUGAUUUUGAUGACGAAGAUGAAGAUCAAAUAUUCCUUUUUCUCACACAUAGGGACAAAAAUUAUCUUUACAUUCACUUAUGUCAACAUUUUGUAUUGAUUGUUCGAAUAACCAAAUAAAUAAUAUUGAUAACUA
rnacentral:lncRNA from 1 species